AAGAUGAAUAUUAAUGAUAAGUAAUAUGUGUAUUAUUAUUAUUUUAAUUAAAGUAAUUUUAAAGGUGAUUUUUUUUAGUAUAAUUUAUAGAAACAAAUCUGAAGAUUUAUAGUGCAGUAGUAUUGGGAAAGAAUUAUGAAAUAUUUGAAAAUUUAUUUGUUGGAAAGUAGAUUUAUAUUGUACCUUGUGUAUCAGGGUUUAUUAAGAAUUUUAUAAAAAAUUUAUAUUUCUCGAAUUAAAAAGAGCUAGUAUAAUAUGUUGUUUAAUGUAAUAUAUUUAUUAAAAAUAUUAUGCUAGAAAUGAAAUGUUAAUCGUUUUUUAAGAUAUCUAGUUUCCUAAGAAAUGAAUUUAAUUCAGUCUAGUUUGAGUAAUUAUUUAAAUUGAUAAAUAAUUAUAUAAUUUAGAAAAUAAUUUGAGGGAUAAGCUUUAAAUUGUAAAUUAUAAUUUAUAAAAAUUGAUUAAAAUUGUAGACUUUAAAUUAGUCAUCAAGGUAAUAAUGUUAUAAAUUAUUUUAUUAAUGAUAUUAUUUUAUAAAAAGUUUAAUUUGUGAAUUAGGAUAAUUUAAGAAGUAAUGUAUUAUUUGGAAUAAUGAUAAAAUUAGUAUAAUUGAAUGUAUUAAUAAAGAUUUUUUUUUAAAAUUUAUAUUAAGGAAUUAGGCAAAAAUAAUAUUCGCCUGUUUAACAAAAACAUGUCUUUUAGUGGGUAAUUUAAAGUCGGGCCUGCCCACUGAUUAUUUAAAGGGCCGCAGUAUUUUGACUGUGCAAAGGUAGCAUAAUCAUUAGUUUUUUAAUUAAAGGCUAGAAUGAAUGGUUUGACGAAAUAUUAACUGUCUCAGUAUAAAAUAUAGAAUUUAACUUUUGAGUCAAAAGGCUUAAAUAGUAAUGGAGGACGAGAAGACCCUAUAGAGCUUUAUAUAUUAUAUAAGUAUUUAUUUUAGAAUUAUUGGGAAUAUUUUUUAGAAAUAUAUUGUGUUGGGGUGACAUAGAGAUUUAAAUAACUCUUUAUAAAAAGUACAUUGAUUUAUGAAUAUUUGAUCCAUUAUUAUUGAUUGUAAGAUAAAGUUACCUUAGGGAUAACAGCGUAAUUUUUUUUAAGAGUUCAUAUCAACAAGAAAGAUUGCGACCUCGAUGUUGGAUUAAGGAAUAUAAUUAGGUGUAGAAGUUUAAUUUAUAGGUCUGUUCGACCUUUAAAUCCUUACAUGAUCUGAGUUCAAACCGGUGUAAGCCAGGUUGGUUUCUAUCCUCAUUAGAAUAAAAUAUUUUAGUACGAAAGGACCAAAUAUUUAAAAUAAUUUUGUAAAAUGUGAUUAUUAUU
rnacentral:rRNA from 1 species